GGGGUGAGGGUUAGGGUGAUGGUGAGAAUUUCGGGUUUAGAGUUAAGGUUUGGGGUUGGGGUGCCAGGGCCAUGCGCUAGAGUUGGGGCCUAGUGUCAGGAUCUAGGGUCAGGGUGAGGGCCAGAGAUCAGAAGUAAGGGCCCAGCGUUCAGGGACAAGGUUAGGGGUUAGUAUUCAGGAUCAGACUGGCUGCUGACCGUUGUAGUCCAUCUGGACUGCUAAAACGGAACCGUAUUUUGGUAUUUUUGGUGGCUUAUAACCCGUAGAAAUCAAUGCCUUACAGUGGUUGAGGCUGGAAGUCUGAGAUGAGGGUACCAGCAUGGUCAGGUGAGGGUCCUGUUUGUAGUGGCACACUUCUCCUCUUUUGACAUGUAGGGGAUGGGUUAGGGUCUCUUAUAGGGGGAGUAAUCCCAUUCAUGAGGACCCCACCCUCAUCACCUAAUCACCUCCCAAGGGCAUCCUGUUCUAACAUCAUCACAUCAGGCAUUAGGAUUCCAACAGAUGAAUUUGGGGGAAAACAAACAUUCAGAUCAUAGCACUGAUGUAAGAGAUAGAUGGAAUUUUUUUUCUUAUAAUUGACCUUUACUUAAAAAAAAAAAAACAAAAGAACCCUACCUCUUUUCCCAGUCAAGGUACCAGGAUGAUGGGCUCUAUCUCAGUUGGAAUUUCCAAAUCGUGGCACUGAAUUUCAGAGAUUAACUGGAUGUGCCACGAGGGGCUAAACUGUUCGUGGCUAAGACUACUUCUUGUGAUAAAAGAUUAACAGGAGAAAAACAGAAGUGUAAUUGUGUGUAUACAUCCUGUAUACGUGGGACAUACUCAGGAAAACUGAUUAACUUCCCCAAAUGGCUGAAGUAAUCACUUGGAAUGUUUCAGUAGUCGGAAGGCCAAUUAAGGGAGGCUAUCAGACCAAGCAAGAGUAUAUGAGGGGUAAGGUUGUUAAUCAGGUUUAAGUCCAGAGACUUUGUUACAAAUGGAGGGUUCCUUUGUAAAUGUAAAUUUUUCUCACUAAAGGACAACUUUUAUUCGGUUUUCAGAGAUUCUCCUCUGUCUUCUGUCUGUUAAAAUCAAUUAGCCCCAAAUAAUACUUGUGCCCAAGAGACUUAUCUUGGGCAUGGUGGCAUAUUCUGCUUCCUUCACAUGGAUGCACCUGUUUGCUUAUGGAUUCAUGUUUUGAAGGACAUCCUGAUUUCUUGAAGACUUUUGCCAUUACGAAUAGAGCUGCUGUGCAUAGCUGCAUGUGAGUUUUUGUUUGGAAAUAGUUUUUCAAAGCAGUUGUGUGAGUACCUGAAGUGUGAUGAUGGUUGAUUCUUAAGGCAAGACUUGUUUAACUUUGGGGAAAAAUGCCAAACUAUUUUCUGUUAAACUUAAAAAUGAAAUCGCCAAUUAUUUUACCAGCAAAAAUGGGUUUAUUUGGGAAUAGUUGAGAAUUUCAAUCCAAGACAAGCAAGCUUAGGCAAAACCAUAAGCAAGCACACGGAACAAAGCAGAGGAGCAUUAGUCUUCUAUAGAGGAAACCGAGGAAGUUGGGAGGUACUGUCCUAAACAGAAAGUUCACUGGAGUAAACUGGGGGCUUGAUGUGUAGUGGCUUCUCAUUGGCUGACCUGUGACAGUCUGUCAUUGGCUGAGCUGUUGUCUGGGGAGGAGGAAACCUUUCUUCCUCCUGCUAGGAUAGUAAAAGGGUCCUGUUGGGUCUGCAAUUGAUGUAGAGUGGUAGGUGUGAGAGUCUCUCCUGCCAAGCCUUCCUAGACUUCAUUUUAGUGAGGUUUCCUGUUACUAGUUUUCACUUCCAAAGUGGCUGCACAUGCAUUCCCCAAAUGAAGGAGGGUUCUUCUCAUUCUGCACUAACAAUUGGCAUUGUCAAAAUUUUUUUGGAGUUUAGCAGUUUUAAUAGGUGUGUAGCAAUUUGGAAUUUCCUAAUGAUACAUGGAUGUAGAGCAUACUUUUGUAUGCUUAUUUACUAUCCGUCUAUUUUCUUUGGCCAGGUGUCUCUUCAGAUCCUUACCCAUUUUCAUUUAGGUUGUGUGUUUUCUGAUUGUUGACUUCUGAGAGUUUUCUGAAAGUUCUUAAUGUAUUUUGAAUACAAAUCUGUUAUCAGAUGUGUGUUUUGCAAAUAUUUCUUGCAGUUUGUAGGCUUGCCUUUUGGGUCUCUGAACAAGGUCUUUCAUGGAGUAAAAGUUUUCAUUUUAUAAAGUUCACAUUACCAGUUUUUUUCUUUUGCAUGUUAUGUUUGGGCUGUCCAGUUUUCCCAGCACCAUUCAUUGAAGAGACUGUCUUUUCACCAUUGUGUAUUAUUGGCUCCUUUGUUGUGAAUUAAUUGCCCACAUAUGUGUGGAUUUGCUUCUGGUCUCUCCAUUCUGCUCCAUUGGUCUUUCUGUCUCUUAGCCCAUAGCAUACUGUUGGUUACUGUAGCUUUGUAAUAUAGUUUAAAAUCAGGGAAUGUGAUGCCUC